rnacentral:rRNA from 1 species
GAUGAACGCUAGCGGCAGGCCUAAUACAUGCAAGUCGAACGGGAUCCAUUGGGAGCUUGCUCCUGGUGGUGAGAGUGGCGCACGGGUGCGUAACGCGUGAGCAACCUACCCUUGUCAGGGGGAUAGCCCGGCGAAAGUCGGAUUAACACCGCAUGACAUUACGAGAUGGCAUCAUUUUGUAAUCAAAUAUUUAUAGGACAGGGAUGGGCUCGCGUGACAUUAGCUUGUUGGUAAGGUAACGGCUUACCAAGGCUACGAUGUCUAGGGGCUCUGAGAGGAGAAUCCCCCACACUGGUACUGAGACACGGACCAGACUCCUACGGGAGGCAGCAGUAAGGAAUAUUGGUCAAUGGACGCAAGUCUGAACCAGCCAUGCCGCGUGCAGGAAGACGGCCCUACGGGUCGUAAACUGCUUUUGUACGGGAACAAACCCUUCUACGUGUAGGAGGCUGAGUGUACCGUAAGAAUAAGGAUCGGCUAACUCCGUGCCAGCAGCCGCGGUAAUACGGAGGAUCCAAGCGUUAUCCGGAUUUAUUGGGUUUAAAGGGUGCGUAGGCGGCCUAUUAAGUCAGGGGUGAAAUACGGCAGCUCAACUGUCGCAGUGCCUUUGAUACUGAUAGGCUUGAAUGCGGAUGAGGUAGGCGGAAUGAGACAAGUAGCGGUGAAAUGCAUAGAUAUGUCUCAGAACUCCGAUUGCGAAGGCAGCUUACUAAGUCGUGAUUGACGCUGAUGCACGAAAGCGUGGGGAUCAAACAGGAUUAGAUACCCUGGUAGUCCACGCCCUAAACGAUGAUAACUCGAUGUCGGCGAUAUACCGUCGGUGUCUUAGCGAAAGCGUUAAGUUAUCCACCUGGGGAGUACGCCCGCAAGGGUGAAACUCAAAGGAAUUGACGGGGGCCCGCACAAGCGGAGGAACAUGUGGUUUAAUUCGAUGAUACGCGAGGAACCUUACCCGGGCUUGAAAUGCAUCUGACGUAUUCGGAAACGGAUAUUCCCUACGGGGCAGAUGUGUAGGUGCUGCAUGGUUGUCGUCAGCUCGUGCCGUGAGGUGUCGGCUUAAGUGCCAUAACGAGCGCAACCCUCAUCGUCAGUUACCAUCAGGUAAAGCUGGGGACUCUGGCGAGACUGCCAUCGUAAGAUGCGAGGAAGGUGGGGAUGACGUCAAAUCAGCACGGCCCUUACGUCCGGGGCGACACACGUGUUACAAUGGGUGGUACAAAGGGCAGCUACCUGGCGACAGGAUGCUAAUCUCCAAAACCACUCUCAGUUCGGAUCGGAGUCUGCAACUCGACUCCGUGAAGCUGGAUUCGCUAGUAAUCGCGCAUCAGCCACGGCGCGGUGAAUACGUUCCCGGGCCUUGUACACACCGCCCGUCAAGCCAUGGGAGCCGGGGGUACCUGAAGAUCGUAACCGAUAAGGAGCGAUCUAGGGUAAAACUGGUGACUGGGGCU